CUUGCCCCUAGAGGCGUUGCAAAUGCAGCUGCAGUGCUGCAUUUGCGUCAUUAGGUGGCAAAGAGGAAAAGGCUAUGUCUACGCUCAGUGCUCUGAAAAACAAACCGUGGGCACUCAGAAUGAUUUGUAGCCUGACAAA